AGUGGGACCUCAUUUAUUCCUUCAUUUUUUUUUCUCACUUGCAUUCAGCACUUUCCAUGUGCCAGGCAGUGAGCUUGCCCUGGUGCUGUAAGUAGAAGUUUGGUUGCUUUCAUAAGCCCUGCCCUGCACAGGGGCCUUCUAAAUCCAGAGCUUUGUACUUGGACUUUGAUAGUUGUGAGUGCCUUCCAUUUACUCACUGGAGAAGUCUGAAAUACAGGACAGGCAGAGUCUCAUUCCAUCACCCAGGCUGGAGUGCAGCGGCGUGAUCUUGGCAACCUCCACCUCCCAGGCUCAAGAAAUCCUCCCACCUCAGCCUCCCAAUAGCUGGAUCUACAGGCGUACACCACCACAAUCAGCUGUAUUUUUUGUAGAGACUGGGUUUCGCCAUGUUGCCCAGGGUGGUCAUGAACUUGUGAGCUCAAGUGAUCUGCCCGCCUCAGCCUCCCAAAGUGCUGGGAUUACAGGCAUGAGCCACCGCCCCUGGCCUAAUAAAAUUUAUUUUUAAAAAAGGACCUAUGGCGAAUCAUUUUUACAAAUAAAAUCUAUAGUCAAGGUGCAGUAUGGGAACAGCAUUUUACUGAGUAAUCUUGCAAAGAAUAUGUCAUUAACCACUACACUAAUCUUGUUCUUGAUGUACACCAGCAACAAAUACAAAGAAAAAUUUAGUCUCUUACUUUAACAGGUUCCAAGUAUGCCACAUCGUAUUUUUUGCCAAAUAAUUUAUUAGUAAGAGGAGAUGACUCUAGUAAGUUAUAGAAGUUAUAUUGAAUUUUUAAAAAAAAUUUUUCAAAACUAUUCUGUGGGGAUUGAGGACAGAUGAACUACAAAGGAACAUGAUGGAACUUUCUGGGGUGAGCAUAAUGUUCUAUAUGAUGAUAGGGGCUUGGGUUACAUAAGUGAGCAUUUAUGAAAACUGUACACUUUUUGUGCAUUUCAUUGUGUAUAAAGUUUACUUCAAAAAAAACAUUGAACUCCAAUUAAUUACAUGCAUGCUGAACUAUUUAGAGUGAAGUAUACUGAUGCCUGUUGUUUACUUUGAAGUAUUUCAAAACAGUAAAAUGGAUAGAGGAAUGUGUAAUAAAUUGGUACACGAUAAGGAAAAUAUAGUCAAUUAUGUUAAUAGUAAAAUCUAGAUGGUG
rnacentral:lncRNA from 1 species